rnacentral:rRNA from 1 species
UACGGGGGGGGCAAGCGUUGUUCGGAAUUACUGGGCGUAAAGGGCUCGUAGGUGGCCAACUAAGUCAGACGUGAAAUCCCUCGGCUUAACCGGGGAACUGCGUCUGAUACUGGAUGGCUUGAGUUCGGGAGAGGGAUGCGGAAUUCCAGGUGUAGCGGUGAAAUGCGUAGAUAUCGGGAGGAACACCAGUGGCGAAGGCGGCUCUCUGGGCCUUUCCUGACGCUGAGACGCGAAAGCGUGGGGAGCGAACCGG